GGGGGUUUAGCUCAGUUGGUAGAGCGUUCGCUUAGCAUUCGCUAACUUGCGAAAGGUCGCGUGUUCGACUCAUGCAGUCUCCA
rnacentral:tRNA from 3 species